rnacentral:misc_RNA from 1 species
UUUCCGUAGGUGAACCUGCGGAAGGAUCAUUACUGAGUGAGGGCCCUCUGGGUCCAACCUCCCACCCGUGUUUAUUGUACCUUGUUGCUUCGGUGAGCCCGCCUCACGGCCGCCGGGGGGCAUCUGCCCCCGGGCCCGCGCUCGCCGAAGACACCCUGAACUCUGUCUGAAGGUUGCAGUCUGAGCGAAAACUAAAUAAGGUAAAACUUUCAACAACGGAUCUCUUGGUUCCG